UUACGGCCAUAUCACAUUGAAACACCAGUUCCUGUAUGAUAACCGAAGUUAAGCAAUGUUGAGCCUGAUCAGUAUCUAGAUAGGUGACCACUUGGAAAUACCAGGUGCUGUAAG